UUGGGUACAGGAUGCCAAGAAUUUCGGGUGGGAGAUCAAUGGGGACAUCAACUACAACUGGAAAAAGUUGCUGGAAAACAAGCUGGAGCGGAUCGUCGGAAUGUCGUCUGCGCGGAGGCUAAUUUCUUCCAACAAGGAUAUGUUUGUCUUCUGUUGACCAUGCGCAUGAGCGUAUGACGACCUUGCCGACUAGUAGAAUUUUGGAACAUGAGCUGAAAAUCCACUGUUGACUAGUCUAGCUGAAAGUGCGUGUACCUGAAGUUGCGAUAGCGGAUUAUUACCUUGUAGAGGGUUAAUGCUUCCAAUUUUUUAGCAUCGAUCUUGAGCAUCUCUUGGUUCUACGGAGCUUAGUCGUUGUGCCAAAAGUCACCAGUUUGGAAUUCUGGGAAAAGAUUCAACUGCCUUUUUU